rnacentral:tRNA from 1 species
GGGUGUGUGGCGCAACCGGAUCAGCGCGACAGGCUUUUAAUCUGUAGGUUGAGGGUUCGAGUCCCUCCGCACCCACCA